GCGCCUGUGGCUCAAUUGGAUAGAGCGACAGCCUACGGAGCUGAAGGUUGGAGGUUCGAUUCCUCCCAGGCGCA
rnacentral:tRNA from 1 species